rnacentral:rRNA from 1 species
CAGUCGCCACGGGAAUACGGAGGGAGCUAGCGUUGUUCGGAAUUACUGGGCGUAAAGCGCGCGUAGGCGGUUACUCAAGUCAGAGGUGAAAGCCCGGGGCUCAACCCCGGAACUGCCUUUGAAACUAGGUGACUAGAAUCUUGGAGAGGUCAGUGGAAUUCCGAGUGUAGAGGUGAAAUUCGUAGAUAUUCGGAAGAACACCAGUGGCGAAGGCGACUGACUGGACAAGUAUUGACGCUGAGGUGCGAAAGCGUGGGGAGCAAACAGGAUUAGAUACCCGAGUAGUCCCUGUCUCUUAUAC